AACAAGGGUCUGCUCUGCUGGUAAACAUUGCCCACGGAAGUGACGGGAGAAGGAGGCUUGGGAAAUUCAUGAGAUGUGAACCAGCUCCACCCCACAGGGCACUUUGUGAAUAACCACAGGGGAAAAUCUGCGUCAGGAGCAAGAAGGUGGAAAAUGUGGAUUUUCCUGGUUUGGACCCUUUUGCCAGGUCCCAGCUCAACAUCAUCUACCUGCUGCUCAUCCCUGGCGUGAAGGUGGCUGUGGCGCUGCUCCUGGGGUGUGUGACUGCCUGGGUAAGGAGCCAACGCAGGAACCAUGGCCAGGAAAACCUGCAGCUCUCCGAGGUGGCUGGUACCAGGGCACUGGGCUGCCCACCAAUCCCAGAGCCACAGGGACACCCUCCUGCCCCUUUACCCCCCACCCUGCUGGGGCUGUGACACCCAUCACGGCCACCCUGCACCAGGAUGUGCUCGGCUCUGGGGGCUUCUCCCCCAGUGAAGCAUCAGCCUCUCCUGGCAGCCCCUGCACUGGAGAGGGGAAGGUUUGGGGCACAGAGAGCCUGUGUCUGCUGAGCUGGAGCUGCCAACUGGUGCCAGGUUUG
rnacentral:lncRNA from 1 species